CACUGGGAAGCUAAAUAGGGUUAAGCGUUAGCCUUUUAAGCUAAAACUUGGUGCCUCCCAAACACCCCUAGUGA
rnacentral:tRNA from 1 species